CUCUGUUAUCAGAGACUUUUGAUGCUACCAUUGGAGUCAGACAAGCAGACAAACAUCAACAAAAUGAUUAUAAACUAUGACACACUAUGAUGGGAAAGAAGGAGGCUGACAGAGAGGACAUUGGCAGGAAGGAGCCCUACUGUAGAUGUGGUGGUCAGAGAAGGGCCUUUGUGAGAAGCUGACACAUAAUCUCACAGUUGAAGUUGUGAGAAGGAGCUGGUCCUCCAGAGAGAAGUAGGAAGAGCGCUCCAGCAGAAUCUCUGGGCAAGUGCAGCUACGACUGCUGCUGGGACCGCGAUACUGUGAUGAGACUUUGCAUAUUUAAAAGGAUGUCGAGAGAGGAGGAGGAAUGAUAAAUGAACUCAGGAAGAUGUGAUGUCUUCUGUGAUGACACUAAUAGAUGGAAUGCAGAAUUCAGCUCCAAUACUUAGGGUUGGAAACCAAACAUAAACAAGCAAGCAAGGAAAAUGAAAAG
rnacentral:lncRNA from 1 species